rnacentral:rRNA from 1 species
UUUCCUACGGGGGGCAGCAGUGGGGAAUAUUGCACAAUGGGGGAAACCCUGAUGCAGCAACGCCGCGUGAGUGAAGAAGUAUUUCGGUAUGUAAAGCUCUAUCAGCAGGGAAGAAGAAAGACGGUACCUGACUAAGAAGCCCCGGCUAACUACGUGCCAGCAGCCGCGGUAAUACGUAGGGGGAAAGCGUUAUCCGGAUUUACUGGGUGUAAAGGGAGCGUAGACGGCAGUGCAAGUCUGAAGUGAAAGGCAAGGGCUCAACCCUUGGACUGCUUUGGAAACUGUGCUGCUGGAGUGUCGGAGAG